UCCCUCCCUGUGGUCCUGUCACGCGCGAGGGGCGCCCCCGGGAUCUCGAGGACCACAGGAUCGUCCGCGCGCUGCCCGAAGCCCCCGCGCGACCCACGCUCGUGGAGCCCGGGGUAUAUUGGUUUGAAAAGGGAACCUCACAAGCAACCCAAGAGUGAAGUCUGAUAAGAAAAAUCAGCUGCUGGAGCAGCCAUGCCCCACUUCUUGGAUUGGUUCGUGCCAGUAUAUCUGAUGAUCUCCAUUCUCAUCUUGGUGGGCUUCGGAGCUUGCAUAUACUACUUUGAGCCGGGCCUACAGGAGGCCCACAAGUGGCGGACGCAAAGACCGAUCGUGGAACGAGACCUUCGAAAAACACUGAUGAUACGGGAUAACCUUGCCUUUGGGGUGCCUGAGGUCUAGUAUUCUGCGUGUAGGGUGUUUCUAGAGAAACAGCCAAACAGAGCCUUUUCUGGAUGGGCCCUGGCUAACAAGGUUUGGUCUGGAUGCACGUUUCUCCUCACUCAGGAGAGAAUCUUCUACUGCCUAGUGACUGAAGAAGGGUAGUUUUAUUCUUUGCUGACAUGGGUCUCUGUUAAUCACCAGAGUUACCUCUUUUUUUUCCGUCUUCUUCUCCCUUUCUAAGGCAAGGUUUGUGUACCUCUGUUAACUCAAGGCUUUCAGGUCUACUCUAGACAAGAUAUUCGUCACUCAGCAAAGGAUCUCCUGCACCACUCCAUGACUUGGAUUUUUGGAUCCACCAAAGGUAAAGGUCUCUGUUAUUCAUUAUCCAAUGGAGGAUACCUGCACCUAUACAUUACCUUCAAAAAAAAAAAACCUUAUGGGCACCAGAUAAUAACAGAUAGACUGGAUAUGGGACAUAGAUCUUUUUACUGCUAGGUCACUGGUUUAAAUCUCACCCAAUUUGCUAGGGUCUGAAAGGUGUUAUUAUUGAAUGCCUCUUUGGUGACUUACGUAAAGUGAAUUUGAUGGGUCUCAGUCCAGUUCUUUGUGUACAACUGUGCACAUCACAGAAAUCACCAAUGCCACUGAAUUACCAUCUGUUCUGGGAGUCUCAUUAGAGAGGCCACGGAUUGAAUAAGCCAUGGAGAGUGAAUUCCUUACUCACCACUAGAGGUGAUUUUUCAAGCUCUGGAGUGAGAGACACAGGAGGGGCAAAUGGAGUAAAGAUUGGUUCUUUAUUGGUGCCCAUUUGUACUUGUUUGGAGGAUAGAGGACUUCAGUCUCCAGGGCUGUCAAUCUAGUACUUUUAUAGAAUUGUAGACGAUUAGGAUUAGAAGAGACCUCAGGAGGUCAUCUAGUCCAAUCCCCUGCUCAGAGCAGGACCAACUUUCACGAGUACUAAAUUCACACACAAUUUUCAGCUAAGAAGGUCUGUGUGGAUCCUGCCAGGAAAUCUCUUGCACCUCUCCUUGACCCAGGGCUCUGGAUUUAUCGCAUAGGCCUCAACAGAUUCAUUACUAGACAUUGGAUCUUCUGCACCUGUCCAUGAUCCAGGAAAUCAAGGGUCCUUUAUUAUAAAUAGAUUUGCACUCAUUCAGUCCUCUGUUCUACAGCAUUUUUUGAAAUAGAUCCCUUAGUGCAUCAGUUCUGGUGCUGCACCCUCUUGACUGUCAUUCACACUGAAAACUGUGAAAUGCUCCUUGGAGAACCCUUCACUGUGAAUCUCUGGAAAGGGACGCUGAGCCAGACAGGUGGAGAUGGGGCACUACUAAUGGCUGUGCUUUCUAGAUCCCACCUGUAUAUCAUAUAAUGUGUAUAUGUACACUGUUUUUGCACUUUCCUCCACGCUUCCCCAGGGCUGAUUUGCUAACAAAGUACUGUAAGAAAAUGUGACUCCAUGGGAGAGUGGGAAUCCAGCACCUUUUUCUUCAUUGCGAACAGUGUGCAAAUCAUAGCAGAUAACACUGGCCCAACUCAGAGUCUAUGACUUGAGGUAUUCCACAGCAGGUACUACUGUGCCACACCUGCUUAGAACUCUAGUAAGACAAUGGCUCCUGUUCCAUGGUGCAUUUUAUCUCUGAUCCAUCAUGCCCCUUCCUGUUUCUUACUUACUCUGCCAACCAGCCCCAUUGUCCUUAUUUCUAUACAUUAUAUAUUAUAAAACUCCACUGUUGACCAGUCAUGCCCAGUUAUCUACAUUCCAUACAGUACCACUGUCAUAUGGCACCACCGUGCCAUUGUCAGUGCAUUCCAUACCAGUGCAGCACAGUCAUGGCCACCCUUUGAUAUACCCUGCUGCGUAUUUGGUGAUAUUAUUACACAGUCAUUGUUGCCCUAUGGGAACCCUUCUGUACAUUCUAUACCGGGGUAGGCAACCUAUGGCAUGCAUGCCAAAGGCGGCACACAAGCUGAUUUUCAG